CUACGGGUUGCUGCAGUCAAGAAUCUUCCUCAAUGGCCGAAAGGCUGAAGGAGCGACGCCGCGUGUAUAAAGAAGCCCUUCGGGGUGUAAAGUACUUUUAUCUGGGAAGAAUUCGUGACGGUACCAGAUGAAUAAGGGGCUGCUAACUUCGUGCCAGCAGCAGCGGUAAUACGAAGGCCCCGAGCGUUAUCCGGAUUUAUUGGGCGUAAAGAGCUAAAAGGUGGUUUGUUAAGUCUUUCGUAAAAGCUAGAAGCUUAACUUCUAGACUGCGAAAGAAACUAAUAAACUAGAGGGUGGAAUAGGCAAGUGGAAUUGCUGGUGUAGCAGUGAAAUGCGUUAAUAUCAGCAGGAACACCAAAGGCGAAGGCAGCUUGCUGGAACACUCCUGACACUAAAUAGCGAAAGUGUGGGUAGCGAAUGGGAUUAGAUACCCCCGUAGUC
rnacentral:rRNA from 1 species